rnacentral:rRNA from 1 species
CGGUGUUCAACUGGCGUGCCCGCGGGACGUCCUGCCGGUGAGCUCAGCCCGCGAGGGCGGCUCAACUUGAAAUCCCAUCGCGGUGCUCUUCAUUGAGUGUCGAGGUGGGCCGGCACGAUUACUUUUGAACAAAUUAGAGUGCUUAAAGCAGGCUAAAAUUUUGCCUGAAUACUGUGUAUAUGGAAUAAUGGAAUAGGACCUCGGUUCUAUUUUGUUGGUUUUCGGAACCCCGAGGUAAUGAUUAAUAGGAACGGAUGGGGGCAUUCGUAUUGCGACGUUAGAGGUGAAAUUCUUGGAUCGUCGCAAGACGGACUAAAGCGAAAGCAUUUGCCAAAAACGCUUUCAUUGAUCAAGAACGAAAGUUAGAGGUUCGAAGGCGAUCAGAUACCGCCCUAGUUCUAACCAUAAACUAUGCCAGCUAGCGAUCCGCCGACGUCCCUCUGAUGACUCGGCGGGCAGCUUCCGGGAAACCAAAGCUUUUGGGUUCCGGGGGAAGUAUGGUUGCAAAGCUGAAACUUAAAGGAAUUGACGGAAGGGCACCACCAGGAGUGGAGCCUGCGGCUUAAUUUGACUCAACACGGGAAACCUCACCAGGCCCAGACACUGGAAGGAUUGACAGAUUGAGAGCUCUUUCUUGAUUCAGUGGGUGGUGGUGCAUGGCCGUUCUUAGUCGGUGGAGCGAUUUGUCAGGUUAAUUCCGAUAACGGACGAGACUCUGACCUGAUAACUAGACGCACUUGCGGCAUCUCAAAGGUCCGCCGGCGGCUGGCUUUGCGCCCGUCGUCGCGCGCGAUUUUUACUGCCGGCGUACAAUAAAUUCUUUUUAGAGGGACAAGUGG